rnacentral:rRNA from 1 species
UACAGAGGUGGCAAGCGUUGUUCGGAAUUACUGGGCGUAAAGGGCGCGUAGGCGGUCCGAUAAGUCCCGUGUGAAAUCCCUCGGCUCAACUGAGGAAUGGCACGGGAAACUGACGGGCUUGAGUUCGGGAGAGGGAAGCGGAAUUCCGGGUGUAGCGGUGAAAUGCGUAGAGAUCGGGAGGAACACCAGAGGCGAAGGCGGCGACCUGGACAGAUACUGACACUCAACUGCGAAAGCGUGGGGAGCAAACAGG